rnacentral:rRNA from 1 species
AACGAACGCUGGCGGCAGGCCUAACACAUGCAAGUCGAACGCCGUAGCAAUACGGAGUGGCAGACGGGUGAGUAACACGUGGGAACGUACCUUUCGGUUCGGAAUAACUCAGGGAAACUUGAGCUAAUACCGGAUACGUGCGAGAGCAGAAAGAUUUAUCGCCGAAAGAUCGGCCCGCGUCCGAUUAGCUAGUUGGCGGGGUAAAGGCCCACCAAGGCGACGAUCGGUAGCUGGUCUGAGAGGAUGACCAGCCACACUGGGACUGAGACACGGCCCAGACUCCUACGGGAGGCAGCAGUGGGGAAUAUUGGACAAUGGGCGAAAGCCUGAUCCAGCCAUGCCGCGUGAGUGAUGAAGGUCUUCGGAUCGUAAAGCUCUGUGGGAAGGGACGAUAAUGACGGUACCUGAAGAAUAAGCCCCGGCAAACUUCGUG